GAUGAAGAACGUAGCGAAAUGCGAUAAGUAGUGUGAAUUGCAGAAUUCAGUGAAUCAUCGAAUCUUUGAACGCACAUUGCGCCCGCCAGUAUUCUGGCGGGCAUGCCUGUUCGAGCGUCAUUUCAACCCUCAAGCCCCCGGGCUUGGUGUUGGGGAUCGGCCGCCCUCCGGCGCGCCGGCCCCGAAAUCUAGUGGCGGUCUCGCUGUAGCCUCCUCUGCGUAGUAGCACACCUCGCACCGGAACGCAGCCUGGCCACGCCGUUAAACCCCCCACUUCUGAAGGUUGACCUCGGAUCAGGUAGGAAUACCCGCUGAACUUAAGCAUAUCAAUAAGCGGAGGA
rnacentral:misc_RNA from 1 species